rnacentral:sRNA from 1 species
AGUUCGACGGGGUCCACCGCCCGCGUGACGACCAGGUAGUCGCGCAGCGCGAUGCCGUGCCGGUUCUC